rnacentral:ncRNA from 1 species
GCUGAGCAUGCAAGCGCGGUCUGCUUCGGAGCCGUUUGAAUCGAUGUUGCGUUUUAACGCUUCAGCGAUCUUUCCUGCAUUAGUAAUAAGAGCAGCUGUGGAGGCCAGCCAUCUGUCUCCCUAUUGUUGAUCUCCCCAUAGCUCCGUUUGAGUUAAUGUCUUGCCACCUGAAAGGAUACUUGUGCGCUAUAUACAUACAUUUUUUACCAGCCUGGGAUCAAAAAUUUGUAACACAGAUAAUUCCCAAUCAAAUUGGAUGGUGUUGGCUGGGCAUUUAAUCCACUCUUUUAAUGAAAAGGAUUUGACGGUCAACUCAAUAUUGUUCUACAUUACGAGAUACCAAAAGCUUUAUUAUAAUAUAACUCUACAAAGUUGAACAUAGGCUGAGUCUCUAUGCCUUGAAUGGAGCACUGGAUUGGAUACCCGGGAAACCGGCGCUUCCAUUUAUAAGAAGUUAAAUUACUGGAAGCGUCUGUAAGGUUACAACACAAGUCACUGAUAAUUCUGAUGAAUAUUUCAAGUUACUGACAUCUGCCCGGCAUCAAUGAUAAACGGCGGCUGUAUUUUAAACGGUCCUAAGGUAGCAAAAUUCCUUGUCGGGUAAUCUCCGUCCUGCAUGAACGGUGUAACGACUUCCCCAUUGUCGCUAGUGUGAGACUCCUAAUAAAUAGAAUUAUCCAUGAAUAUGUGGAAUCAUACGGCCCGACGGUAAGACCCUGAGCACCUUAACUUCCCUAAAAGUUCUUAUGUGUUGGCAUGGUUACGAGAUUUAAGGAUGAAACCUUCCUGAUCGACUCGUGAGGUAAAAGAAACAGUCGGUGCGAAGUCGUAACAUG